rnacentral:rRNA from 1 species
UACGGAGGGUGCAAGCGUUAUCCGGAUUCACUGGGUUUAAAGGGUGCGUAGGCGGGUUGGUAAGUCCGUGGUGAAAUCUCCGAGCUUAACUCGGAAACUGCCGUGGAUACUAUCAGUCUUGAAUAUCGUUGAGGUAAGCGGAAUAUGUCAUGUAGCGGUGAAAUGCUUAGAUAUGACAUAGAACACCAAUUGCGAAGGCAGCUUACUGAACGAUCAUUGACGCUGAGGCACGAAAGCGUGGGGAGCAAACAGG